UGGGGAAUCUUGGACAAUGGGGGCAACCCUGAUCCAGCCAUGCCGCGUGAGUGAUGAAGGCCUUAGGGUCGUAAAGCUCUUUCGCCUGUGAAGAUAAUGACGGUAGCAGGUAAAGAAACCCCGGCUAACUCCGUGCCAGCAGCCGCGGUAAUACGGAGGGGGUUAGCGUUGUUCGGAAUUACUGGGCGUAAAGCGCACGUAGGCGGACCAGAAAGUUGGGGGUGAAAUCCCGGGGGCUCAACCCCGGAACUGCCUUCGAUACUGGCAAUCUAGAGAUCUGGAGAGGCGAGUGGAAUUCCGAGUGUAGAGGUGAAAUUCGUAGAUAUUCGGAGGAACACCAGUGGCGAAGGCGGCUCGCUGGCCAGAUACUGACGCUGAGGUGCGAAAGCGUGGGGGAGCAAACAGGAUUAGAUACCCUGGUAGUCCACACCGUAAACGAUGAAUGCCAGUCGUCGGGUAGCAUGCUAUUCGGUGACACACCUAACGGAUUAAGCAUUCCGCCUGGGGAGUACGGUCGCAAGAUU
rnacentral:rRNA from 1 species